AGCUCUAGUAGUGUAUGUUGAAGUUGCUGCAGUUAAAAAGCUCGUAGUUGGAUUUCGGAAUGCGGAGGUCAAAGUCCGUCUCAACGGCGUGGCUCGGUUUCCGCUUCCUAUCUUUGAGUAGAGGCUCUCUUCCUUCACGGGUUGGGAUGUCCGCUCUCAUAUUUUACUUUGAAAAAAUUCACGCGCUCAAGGCAGGCGUAACUUGCUAUGAAGAUUACAGCAUGGGAUAAUGGAAUACGACUUUGGUCUUAUUUUGUUGGUUCUAAGGCUGAGGUAAUGAUUAUAGGGGUGGUUGGGGUCGCUUGUAUUGCACGGCUAGAGGUGAAAUUCUAAGAUUCAUGCAAGACAAACUACUGCGAAAGCAUUCGACAAGGACGCUUUCA
rnacentral:rRNA from 1 species